UUAAGCAUAUCAUUAAGCGGAGGAAAAGAAACUAACAAGGAUUCCCCCAGUAACGGCGAGUGAAGCGGGAAGAGCUCAAGCUUAAAAUCUCCAUACUUGUAUGGCGAAUUGUAGUCUAUUGAGGCUGUUGUCAGCAUCGCGAUUGGGGACAAGUCCCUUGGAAAAGGGCAGCAUAGAGGGUGAUACUCCCGUCUCUGCUCCAAUCUGCGGUGUGUACGAUACGCUUUCUUUGAGUCGAGUUGUUUGGGAAUACAGCUCAAAGUAGGUGGUAAAUUCCAUCUAAAGCUAAAUAUUGGUGCGAGACCGAUAGCGAACAAGUACCGUGAGGGAAAGAUGAAAAGAACUUUGAAAAGAGAGUUAAAGAGUACCUGAAACUGUUGAAAGGGAACCGUAUCGUUUCCAGUGUUGUAUCCUAUGCAUAUUUCAUUCGCGGAGUAAUUUGCGGGUGCCCUGUGCAUGGGUGUGACGUCAGGGUCAGUUUGUAUGCUGCGGGAGAUGGUCAGUGAGGAGGUGCGUCACUUCGGUGAAAGUUAUAUCUCGCUGUCUAGUAGCCGUGGUUGAGACUGAGGUGCCUACAACAUGCCUUAAGGUUCCGUGUUGUCUCGUGUUGGUGACUGCUUUGAUAGCUUGCUAUGUCUGUGGUUUAUCAGUGCGAUUGAUGAUGCGGAUAACUUUUGCUGUUCGGGACUCUGGCGAAAUGGAGCGAUACGACCCGUCUUG
rnacentral:rRNA from 1 species